AGGACGAACGCUAGCGGCGUGUUUGAAACAUGCAAGUCGAACGAGCUUCACAUUUCGGUGUGAGGUGUAGUGGCGAACGGGUGCGUAACACGUAAAGAACCUAUCCAGAAGCGGGGGAUAGCCUCUAGAAAUGGGGGGUAAUACCGCAUAAGGUACAAGACAGGCAUCUGUCAUGUAGCAAAGGAAUACGCAAGUAUUUCACUUAUGGAGGGCUUUGCGGCCUAUCAGGUAGUUGGUGGGGUCACGGCCUACCAAGCCAAAGACGGGUAGCUGGUCUGAGAGGACGGCCAGCCACACUGGGACUGAGACACGGCCCAGACUCCUACGGGAGGCAGCAGUUAGGGAAUUUUGACAAUGGGCGCAAGCCUGAUCGAGUGACGCCGCGUGCGGGAUGACGCCUUUCGGGGUGUAAACCGCUUUUCCCAGGGACGAGGAGGGACGGGUACCUGGGGAAGAAGGUCUCGGCUAACUACGUGCCAGCAGCCGC
rnacentral:rRNA from 1 species